CGCCAAAGGCCCCGGGAAGGACGUGGGGGCCGAGACCACCGUCCUGCACUUCCUCAACGGCGACACGCAGAGGAUCCUGCCCGACCAGAGAGUGGUCUACUACUGCGCAGGCGCCCAGACCACGCGCACCACGCACCCCAGCGGGCUGCAAGUCCUGCGGUUUCCGGACAAGCGCACAG